rnacentral:rRNA from 1 species
AAUGAACGCUGGCGGCGCACCUAAUACAUGCAAGUCGAGCGAGAAGACGUAGCAAUACGUUUGUAAAGCGGCGAACGGGUGAGGAAUACAUGGGUAACCUACCCUCGAGUGGGGAAUAACUAGCCGAAAGGUUAGCUAAUACCGCGUACGCUUCUUGGACUUCGGUUCAGGGAGGAAAGCGAUGCCGAGGGUAUCGCGCUCUUGGAUGGGCUCAUGUCCUAUCAGCUUGNGGUGAGGUAACGGCUCACCAAGGCUUCGACGGGUAGCUGGUCUGAGAGGACGAUCAGCCACACUGGCACUGCGACACGGGCCAGACUCCUACGGGAGGCAGCAGUAAGGAAUAUUGCGCAAUGGGCGAAAGCCUGACGCAGCGACGCCGCGUGGGGGA